rnacentral:rRNA from 1 species
AGUGAACGCUGGCGGUAGGCCUAACACAUGCAAGUCGAACGGCAGCACAGUAAGAGCUUGCUCUUACGGGUGGCGAGUGGCGGACGGGUGAGGAAUACAUCGGAAUCUACUAUUUCGUGGGGGAUAACGUAGGGAAACUUACGCUAAUACCGCAUACGACCUACGGGUGAAAGCAGGGGAUCUUCGGACCUUGCGCGAUUGAAUGAGCCGAUGUCGGAUUAGCUAGUUGGCGGGGUAAAGGCCCACCAAGGCGACGAUCCGUAGCUGGUCUGAGAGGAUGAUCAGCCACACUGGAACUGAGACACGGUCCAGACUCCUACGGGAGGCAGCAGUGGGGAAUAUUGGACAAUGGGCGCAAGCCUGAUCCAGCCAUACCGCGUGGGUGAAGAAGGCCUUCGGGUUGUAAAGCCCUUUUGUCGGGAAAGAAAAGCAGCAGGUUAAUACCCCGCUGUUCUGACGGUACCCAAAGAAUAAGCACCGGCUAACUUCGUG